UAGAACACUGCCGUUUUUAAA
ensembl:piRNA 21ur-2450 ncRNA